UUAAAUUGAAGAGUUUGAUCAUGGCUCAGAUUUAACGCUGGCGGCAGGCCUAACACAUGCAAGUCGAACGGUAACAGGAAGAAGCUUGCUUCUUUGCUGACG
rnacentral:rRNA from 1 species